rnacentral:rRNA from 1 species
UACGGGGGGGGCAAGCGUUGUUCGGAAUUACUGGGCGUAAAGGGCGCGUAGGCGGCCACCGCAAGUCGACUGUGAAAUCUCUGGGCUUAACCCAGAAAGGUCAGCCGAUACUGCGGGGCUAGAGUGCAGAAGGGGCAACUGGAAUUCUCGGUGUAGCGGUGAAAUGCGUAGAUAUCGAGAGGAACACCUGCGGCGAAGGCGGGUUGCUGGGCUGACACUGACGCUGAGGAGCGAAAGCGUGGGGAGCAAACCGG